AGGCGUAUUUUUGCGUCUGUGAGAGAUACAGACAGACACAAAGAUACCUGGAAUAUCAGUAACGCAGGGCACGGUGGUGCUCAGAGGAAGACUCUGCCUCAGGACUAACGGGGACGGAGCUUGGCCGUUUCAGGAGGUGACGGCUGAACUCACUAACUGGAAUAUCAGUAACGCAGGGCACGGUGGUGCUCAGAGGAAGACUCUGCCUCAGGACUAACGGGGACGGAGCUUGGCCGUUUCAGGAGGUGACGGCUGAACUCACUAACUGGAAUAUCAGUAACGCAGGGCACGGUGGUGCUCAGAGGAAGACUCUGCCUCAGGACUAACGGGGACGGAGCUUGGCCGUUUCAGGACGUGACGGCUGAACUCACUAACUGGAAUAUCAGUAACGCAGGGCACGGUGGUGCUCAGAGGAAGACUCUGCCUCAGGACUAACGGGGACG
rnacentral:lncRNA from 1 species